rnacentral:rRNA from 1 species
AACGAACGCUGGCGGCAGGCUUAACACAUGCAAGUCGAGCGCCCCGCAAGGGGAGCGGCAGACGGGUGAGUAACGCGUGGGAACGUACCUUUUGGUUCGGAACAACUCCGGGAAACUGGAGCUAAUACCGGAUAAGCCCUAACGGGGAAAGAUUUAUCGCCGAAAGAUCGGCCCGCGUCUGAUUAGCUAGUUGGUGAGGUAACGGCUCACCAAGGCGACGAUCAGUAGCUGGUCUGAGAGGAUGAUCAGCCACACUGGGGCUGAGACACGGCCCAGACUCCUACGGGAGGCGGGAGUGGGGAAUAUAGGACAAUGGGCGCAAGGCUGAUCCAGCCCGGCCGCGUAAGUGAUGAAGGCCUUAGGGUAGUAAAGCCCUUUUGUCCGGGAAGGUACUGACGGUACCGGAAGAAUAAGCCCCGGCUAACUUCGUG